rfam:Pseudomonas syringae pv. spinaceae strain ICMP16929 PspICMP16929_Contig_625, whole genome shotgun sequence.
GGUAGUCUGGAUCUCAUGACUACGAUGCGCUCUACGCAUUGAUCCAACCUAAAGUUCGCAAAGCUUCCGGAGGCGCGAACGAUCGGUGAUGUAAACGCCGAUGGAUGC